UCAGUGAAAAUAACAGAGUAAGAAAUACCUAAAGCUUCCCCUCUAAAGUGCAACUGUAAACUGGCAAAAACUGUCAGAAUCAACUUUUUCAGAACUCUGGACAGUAAUCAAAAGCUUGAAGCAGCUUGGGAAGCAUUUUUUUAAGAAAAGCAGUAGCAUCCUGAUAAGACCAGUGAGCUUUGUGGCAUUUUAACUUGCCUGAGUCCCAUUUCUUGUACCCUGAGGGAUGCAAGAAACAAGGAAGUAUGGCCCAUACAUGGAAGAAAAAGCAGUCAAUAUAAAACUAUCCCUAAAGAAGCCCAGACAUUAAACGACAAGGAUUUUAAAUCAGCCAUCUUAAGUAAGUGGUCUGGAACUGGAUGCAUCGUAUCUCCAUGGUAUCCCUGUAUAUAUGUGUGCAUAUAUAUUUGCAGGACUUCAAGAACUCAGGAGGAAAUACCAAAAAAAAGCUUUCGGAAGGAUUUUGAGCAGCAGCAGCAUAUUGAAAUAAAUGUACACAGCAUGGAUAGCUGGAAACAUAUUUAGAUCCCUAUCCAUGUGACCACUUUCCAUCAGAAGAUAGCUGUUUGAAUUGUCAGCUCAAAAGCGCCCACUGCCCAGCAAGGCCAAAUGCCAACACACAAAACAACCCUUCAAACCAGUGAAGUUUAUCUCUAUGCCAAACACAGCUUUGAAAUACAAGUUUAGAUAGAAUGUGAACCGCUGAUGAAGAACUGCUUCAAGGGACUCAGCCCUGUAAAGGGCCAGAGGGGUAAACAUGGUCUUCCAUGUGAAUGAACUGCAGUGGCUGCAUAUUGAUGAGACACAUUCAAGUCUUACCUUCGGUGGUGCAGUCAAAAGUAGACUCUUUCCUUGCUCGGGUAUGAAAGCCUAUCUCUAAACAGUUUUACCAGCUCUGUGGUGCUAGACAAUUGGACAAGUGAAAGAGAGGAUGGUAAUGACUGGACAGUAAGAACAACCCAGUGAGCACAGUUGGAAGUUGGAAAUAUCUCCAGCCUUUGUCCUUCAUUCGUGACCCCCUCAGCCUGGAAACCUUGGCAUAUUGCUAAAGCUCCUCUUAGAGAAAAUAGCUCCAGUGGUGAGAGUUGAAAUCUCAAUUUUGCCUCCGUAUGACACACACCAGAUCAUGCUGUUCCUCUCCUUGAAAACUUUCAACGUUUCCUCUUUCUUGCAGAAUGGAGUUCACACUCCUUUGCCUGUGAUCUAAGGUUCUCUCCCACCUCCUAUCUGCCCACAGCUUCAGCUCUUCCAUCGGGAGAACUUCCCCAGGGGCCUUCACCGUAGGAACUCUCUGCCUACAACUUGCCACUCCCUGGAUGUGUCCCAGGAUCUUUUGUACACAUUCUAUGAGCUCAUCUCCCAGGU
ensembl:lncRNA